rnacentral:antisense_RNA from 1 species
AAAUUCUGCAAGUUUUCUUGUAAAUUUGGCCAAGUACUGCAGAAUUCCUGGAAGACUGCAGAACACACAUACUCAGAACCAAGAAUGAAGAGACGGUGCGAGCCAUCCCCACUAUGCAGGGCACCAACGGGCUGCCGCAGCCCACUCACAACCUCCUGAAUACAGAAGCAGUUGUGUUUGUGCUUUCUAAACAAAUUAAAGAAAACCAUGUAAAAGAAUUCUUUGCAAUAGUCUUUGCAGAGCAGAGGAAGUACUAGGUCUCUUUCCAAGGCUUCUCUCUCAGAGGGAAAAUUGCAACCCUUGCCUACAACCAGACUGACAGCAUAAUUUCUUAGGAAUCAAGAAUCAACACAGGGUCAUUUCUUUAGAUUAAACCUUAAAAGCCCCCUUGGAGGCUGAAGAAGCAGAGGAUAACCAUGCAUACACUUGAACGUGAAAAAUGGUCCUCUUUCAUUGGAGAGGUCUCCCUCUUCAGCUAAACCGACAGAGUGGUGAAAAGAAGGGACCCCUUGUUGACCAAAAUAAUCCAGACAAAUCAAAUCGGGCCUUUCCAGCAAGGAGUGGAACAGCCCUAGGGUGGCUAGAUCACAUCUUCUGCUCACACCACCACUGAGCAACCCUCUCCAGGACUGCCACCUAUGUG